CAAAAUCCAACCCAAACCUCCCCUGGCCCAGCUCCAGCCCUUCCCUGGCUGCUGUCCCUGUCCCAGGAGCUGCAAACCCUGAAAAAUCCCCCCUCGGCCUCCUCCAGCUGAACAAUCCCAGUGCCUUCAGCUGCUCCUCCAUGGCCCCUCCAGACCCUUCCCAUCCUUGUGUUCCUCCUUUGGAUGCUCUCUGGGAGCUUUCCAAGUGAUUUUUCCUGGAGAGUCUUUACCCUGGCCCCAAAAGGCCUGCCAGCUGCUUCCCAUGUCUAUUUGCAGGUCUGUAUUUAAGCCAUGUUUUAAUCACUGUGUUUGGGCAGAUCCCAGCAGAAAUCAUGAUUUCCUCAACGUUUUCAAGUCAUGUUUCAUGCAAACCUCAAAGGAUUGGGCAACAAGGCUCGUUCAUCACCCAGCAGACUGUUUGUUGUAUGUGAAUCUUUGAAGGUUUUUGGAUUCUUCCCUUUCUUUCUCCCUCCACUGCCAUAUGUGGGAAAAAUUGGAAUUUGGGGUACUCAAGGAUAUCUGAACUAAAAGCCAAAGGAAAACAAUCAGAAAUCAGAGAUGCUGAAGAGUCAUAAUAAAAAUUCUGUUCUGGUCUUGAUCAGCUGCAAAAUAAAAGAACACAUUGCA